ACCCAGUUGACGAGUUCGAAAUAGGAUGAAACGCGCGUCGUAGAU
rfam:Schistosoma rodhaini strain Burundi genome assembly, scaffold: SROB_scaffold0015786